AAAAGAGAACAUGAUAGUUUUCUGUAAGCAGUCAGUUUGGCCAACUUUUCAAAGAAAGGUAACAGUUAUAUACAACUGCUCGAAAAAAAACGAGGGAAACUAUAAGAGGAAAACAACGAAACAACAUAAACACUGAAGUAAACAAAAAACAAUUUUAAACGAUAAUACAAAACACACGUCAGAAACGAACUAUAAGAUAAUAAGUGCAAUUUUCUUAACUUGGUACAGGACAUUUUAAGAAAAAAUGAGGGAAUGAACCUGGUUAUGUGUCUAGCCAAACCUCUCGCUUUUAUGGCAAUGUUAAAUAUUACACUUAAAGAGGGACGAAAGAUAUCCGAGGGACAGUCAAAUUAACUCAUAAAUCGAAAAUAAACUGACAACGACUUGGCUAAAAAUGAAAAAAGACAAACAGACAAAUAAUAGUACACAUGACACAGCAUAGAAAACUAAAGAAUAAGCAACACGAACCCAACC
rnacentral:lncRNA from 1 species